ensembl:snRNA U6 U6 spliceosomal RNA
GGGCUCACUUCGACAGCACACACACUAAGAUUAGAACAACACAGAGAAGAUUAUCACAGCCCCUGCAUAAACUUGACGCACAACUGAAGCGUGCCAUAUUUCU